rnacentral:lncRNA from 1 species
UACACCACAGCUCACAGCAACACUGGAUGCUUAACCCACUGAGCAAGGCCAGGGACCGAAUUGGAGUCCUCAUGGAUGCUAGUUGGUUUAUUAACCGCUGAGCUGCAAUGGGAACUCUACCCCACAAGCUUUAAAACGGCCCAUAUGGUGGGCCUUCAGCAGCAGACCCAACACACACGGUCACCCAGAGGGUGGGGACCAGCCCCAUGCAAGUCAUCAACCAGCGCCGCCUACAGAACAAACCCCUGUACCACAUGUUUGUCCCUAAGACUACUGUAAAACCAAAGGGGACCCCUGGGCACCUGGCAGGGUCAUGGGGAGGAACCCCACCCAUGCAUGGGGAUGGACCAAGUGGACUCUGGCCUCCCAAGGCAGGGCAAUGACACCUCAUCACAGAGGAAGUGGAGAAGGUCACCCAUCACUAUCACUAUUCUAGUCCAGGAGGUCAGAUCCACAAUGCGGAAGUUCCCAAGAGCAGGAAGCAGAGACUGAAAGAGACCCCCAGAAAGCCAGCUUAGGAGUCUGCAUGAUAGGAUGGGAAUGAAUAUAGGACAAGAAGGAAAUGUUCCAUUUCAGAUUUCCUCCCGGGGAAAAACCGUUCCGAGGAAAUACUUUGAUAAGCAGCCUGUGGUGUGGGGGCAAAAUUCCAGGAGCACGCACAAGUAAUAAGGACGGCAGACACACGUCCUUCUGAGCCCUGGAGGAUGCUCUGCUUCAUGGGAUUUGGGUUUGGGAGUUGGAGAGCAGGACUGAGGAAAGAGCUGGGAAGCUUGGCACAAAGAGGAGAGCGAUUCUGGAUCCUGAUAUGAUGAAGAGCCAGGUGUCCGGGCACCGCACAGAGGACAACUGGGAAUGACCAGCAGUGGUCCCUGGUAAUCAGAAGUUUCUACUGAGGAUGCUAGAAAGUCACUGUGCUGUGGCCCAGGGCUCAUCCCAAGUGCCUUUCAGGGUAAGGACUUCUGGAGUGCAAGGGCGAUGUACCCAAGUGCCUUUCAGGGUAAGGACUUCUGGAGUGCAAGGGUGAUGUCUCGAAUGACACGUGAGCAAAUACCUCCAGCAUGCCUAGAAGCAGGGGCCAGGGGAUGAGGCAGAGCUGGCCUCAGGCUGCAGAAAGAACACAGGGUAGGAGAUAGAGGCUUGAGGGCAAGGCCCAGCUCUGCAGCUAAUGAUGUUUGAGACCCAGAAAAGCUCCUUCCCGCUCUCUGCUUUAUUCACUCAACCCUAAAAAGGGCUCAUGGCCUUUCAGCCCUAACAGUCUAUGACUCUGAUUUUAGUUCAACCCUCUCCUCAACACAGCAUGGGAAGGAGGGGGCUAUUAGCAGAGCAUGUGUGCAUUUACAUGGAAUGGGUUUGCUGCCACUCCAGCAUAACGAACUUUCUCACAGAUUACAUGUGCAAAGAACUGCUCAGAGUGAACUGUAAGAUCACUUCGGAUGCACUAUUGAUUUUCAUUAUUUUCGUUUUCUCCAUCCCUGAGUUCCCAGCAAUCAUCCCCCAGUUUGAUGUCACCCAGAAGAAAAAUCUUGGCCUCCUCUUUCUAAUAAUCAGUUCAUAAAGUAUCCUUCAAAGACAAUCUUCUGGGAGUUCCCAUCAUGGCUUAGUGGAAACAAGUCUGACUAGCAUCCAUGAGGACGCAGGUUCAAUCCCUGGCCUCACUCAGUGGGUUAAGGAUCUGGUGUUGCCAUGAGCUGUGGUGUAGGAUGCAGGCUCGACUUGGAUCUGGUGUGGCUGUGGUGUAGGCCAACAGCUACAGCUCCGAUUCAACCCCUUGCUUGGGAAUCUCCAUAUGUCGUGGGUGCAGCCCUAAAAAGACAAGGAAGGAAGGAAGGAAGGAAGAAAAGAAGGAAGGAAGGAAGAAAAGAAGGAAGGAAAUCUCUGUUAUGAAAAAAUUAUCCUGCAAGAGCACAAGGGUGUUUGGGGCCUAGUAUGACUAUCCAUCUGGGAGCGCUCAGCAGCCCUUCUCCUUCAAGGCUCUUCCAAUACCAACUUUCCCACACCUUUCCCCUUGUUUCCCUGCAGUGACCGAGCCAUACACCCUCUAAGCAGCACCAGUUCUCCAGAAGGGUAAGCAAGUUGGAUUUCCGGCAAAGGAGACCUCUUCUGACUUGGCAAGGGCUAUGCAGGGGACUGAGGGUCCUUUUCAGCCUUUCUCUGGAUCCAUUUUCAUCCUAGGCGAGAUGAGCUCUGCACACAAACACUGGGAUGUUACUGUUGGACACUGCUCUGCCUCUGUCAUUGAGGGGCAAUCACAGGUAGCUGUGCACAGAAUGACUUCAACAAUAGAGCAACAAGAUGCACAACUCCAAGGCUAUUUUUUUUUUUUUUACAAAGAAUAAAAACGAAAACUAGAAAGACUGGCUCACCUAAAAAACGUUCAGGACAGUGGGAAAUACGUCAAGGGACUAUGAUGGAGGGAAAGACCACAGAGAAGGGCGACUCCAGGGCUUAAUGGGUUGGCCUUGGGGUCCUGAGACAAUGCAUUCAUUCAUAGGUGUACAAAGGCCCAGUCACUGUCCUAGGUGCUGAAUCCCUACAUAGCCAAAAACAGCCCACAAGGUCCCUACUCUCCCAGCACUUACAGUCUGGUAAGGGGAAACCAACAAUUCAGUCGUAAACAUACCAUAGACAAGAUGACACAGAAAACUGUAAAUGCUGUGAAGAAAACCAAACAGGAUGGAGUGAUUGAGAGACACCGGCAGAGUCAGAGAGGCCUCUCGCAUAGCCUGAGUGUUUAGCCUCUUUUCAGAGGUGACCUUCAGUAGCGACCUGUGGACUGAUAUCAAGGCAGCCAUGCAAAGAUCAGAACAAGGGCAUUCUGAACAUCAACGACAGACCAUACAAAGGUCCAUCGGUGACUUCCAGGGCAGAAACGAGGUCUGUGUGGCUAACACACAGGAUUUUUGUUUGUUUGUUUUUGCUGUCUUAGAAGUUUAGGAGGCAAUGCCUAAGAAAUAUAAGUGCCAGGAGCACUCCACUCUGCACCAUGAGACACAUUUUCGCUUUUGUUUGCCUAUGAUGAUUUUUUUCUCCCCCUACUUCUUUAGAAAAACAAAUGCUGAGCAGAGGUUAGGAACAAAUCUUGGCAUAAAUGUAAACAUCUACUCUGUGGAGACACAAGCAAGAAAUGUGUUUGUUUCUAAUCUGCAAAAGGUAGGAGAGGCCUUAACUCAACUGUUUGCUGGGAGACCCAGACUUUACACGUAUCCCAGUGGGUCCUGAAGCCAACUUAAUGGAUCGUCCUCGUUGAGGAUUCUAGUGUCUUUGGUGGAAGCGAGUGAGCAAAAGCAAACUGAGAUAUUAGAAGAGGCAAAAUAUCUAAGAAGAGAAACUGCAGAUAGAGUCGAGGAAAUGAAUGGGCUGCCGGCAGCAAAUAUCACUUCCGUGAUUCCUGGGAAGGAAUCACGUGACUACCUUCAGUGCGCUAGCUUGCUGCGUGGAUGGCCUCUAAUGAGGCACAGUUUCUAACCAGUUGGAUUUCACAUUGCUCAGUGCCAGCUUGGUGAUUUGUUUUGCAUGAAACACUGCAGCCUGUUAACCCAGUGAGUUACAGUUCUAGGUAGGCAGCCAGAAUCUCUCACAGCCCUGAAACCCUUUUUUCUUAAAAUAAAAAGUGAUGAGGAUGAGGAGGAUGACAAUAAAGGAAAUGAGUUCAAUCAGGUUACCAUCUUGAAAUCUUGAACGAGUCAGGCUAAAAUGACCCAAAUAAUGGACCUCCUUUUUUUUUUUUUUUUUAAUCUUUUCUGGAUCAUGCCAGGGAAGAGCUCGAUCCAUUUUUCAACGUUUCUCUGCCCUCUCUGCUCUUGUUGGGGGAACGAGGCCUCUCCAUUUCUUUCCUUUCGGGCUCAAGAUAAUUUAGAGUUCUGGAGGAAGCAGGACACUUUGGGACUCUGGCCUGGGACAGACUGAGUGGUGAUGCUGAGGUGUGAGAAUUCAGGAGCAGAGGCAUCACACUUCAUUCAUCUCCACUGUACAAUGUAAAUGUUCUCCUGUGUGUGACACCACAAAAGCAGGCGUUUUCUUCUUUGCGAGAUGGAACAAGAACCAUCCCUAGCCAUAGUCGGUAUGGGGUCUCUCUUGCUGAUUCAAAUGAACUUAAAACCUUGGGCUGAGUGGAGUCUGAUCCCCUGCACCUGCCUCACUGAGCUGCAUCAGUGUCUGGAAACCUCUGUGGUUCCUCUCUCCACAUUUCUCCUCCUCCUCCUGGAACAGAAGGGAACAGACAGAGUAUGCUAGCUUUGACACCAGGAAGGCAUGUCCCUGCUCCCUUUACAAGGGGACAUUUGAUGGAUAAAAUAGCUCACAUCCAAGCUUCCUCUCCAACAGGUCAGGACAAGACAACUCAGUGGUCACAAAUGGAAGGUAGAAGGUGGGUCUUGGUUUGCUGAGUUUCAGCUGCAACUGUUACCUCAACGGGAACUGUACAGAGCUAAUCCGAACACUGGCUCCAUCAAUGCAUGUAACUUAAAUGAC